CGGGAGGCUGCAGCAGUGAGGAAUAUUGGACAAUGGUCGAAAGACUGAUCCAGCCAUGCCGCGUGCAGGAUGACUGCCCUAUGGGUUGUAAACUGCUUUUAUACGGGAAGAAAAACACCUACGUGUAGGUGACUGACGGUACCGUAAGAAUAAGGACCGGCUAACUCCGUGCCAGCAGCCGCGGUAAUACGGAGGGUCCAAGCGUUAUCCGGAAUCAUUGGGUUUAAAGGGUCCGUAGGCGGGCUAUUAAGUCAGAGGUGAAAGUUUGCAGCUCAACUGUAAAAUUGCCUUUGAUACUGAUAGUCUUGAAUUGUAGUGAAGUGGUUAGAAUAUGUGGUGUAGCGGUGAAAUGCAUAGAUAUCACAUAGAAUACCGAUUGCGAAGGCAGAUCACUAACUAUAUAUAGACGCUGAGGGACGAAAGCGUGGGGAGCGAACGGGAUUAGAUACCCUCGUAGUC
rnacentral:rRNA from 1 species